GAUGAAGAAUGCAGCGAAAUGCGAUAAGUAGUGUGAAUUGCAGAAUUCAGUGAAUCAUCGAAUCUUUGAACGCACAUUGCGCCCCUUGGUAUUCCAUGGGGCAUGCCUGUUCGAGCGUCAUUUGUACCUUCAAGCUUUGCUUGGUGUUGGGUGUUUGUCUCGCCUUUGCGUGUAGACUCGCCUUAAAAUAAUUGGCAGCCGGCGUAUUGAUUUCGGAGCGCAGUACAUCUCGCGCUUUGCACUCAUAACGACAGCGUCCAAAAGUACAUUUUACACUCUUGACCUCGGAUCAGGUAGGGAUACCCGCUGAACUUAAGCAUAUCAAUAAGCGGAGGA
rnacentral:misc_RNA from 1 species